CAGCAGGAGCCCGCCUCGCGCCGCCAGAGUCCGGUUGCGAGCCGCCUCCAGCAGGAGCCCGCCUCGCGCCGCCAGAGUCCGAUGCGAGCCGUCUCCAGCAGGAGCCCGCCUCGCGCCGCCAGAGUCCGGUGCGCGUCUAGAGCACGGCGACCGCCGCUCCGCGCUCCCGUGCCCCGGCCGCGCCGCAGCGCGCGCGCUCACCUCCAGAGCCAGGGCCCUUCUCACCGCUCGACGGUCGUCCAUUCUGAUGACAUCGGUGUCGGCCUCUGGUCGAUGUCGAAUGGAUGUCUCCGGCAGAAGAGUAACAAUUUUAACCCUUCGUAUGCCUUAGUCAAAAUUUACUACUGAAUUAAUAAAACCUUGAAAUUGUAAAUUAUAGUCCAAAUUGUGUGGUAGAUAUACGGGACCAGGCAUACGAAAGGUUAUUUACACGAUGUUUUUGAGAUUUUGACAUGCUGAUGACUGAUUGAAACUGUUUUAAGCCACGAGAAAAUGAUCGGUUCGUGUGCUGACACAAAUAAGUAGUAGGUGCGAGAAUAGAACUGGUUCGUAUCCUAUACAUUAACUCUGAUCGCAAGAAAUUGAUCGGUUUGCGAUUAGUGUAUCCCCUGUUAAGUAUGCGUAGUCUGUCGGCCAAGUGUAGGGUUUCCACCUGGCACGUGUAUGAGGACAUACACGGAGUCAGGAUGGACGAGUGUAGGGUUUUUGGUAUUUAGCAUACCUACUUAAUUCGUUUUUAUUAUUAAGGGUAGUUUGAAAUUGAAAGACUGUUAUUGGUUGGGUAUAAAAAGAAACUACACUCGGCCGACGGGUCUCAGUUGGUUGUUGAGUCGUGCUAGCGAACGUUUGUCAUAAGAUGAUAUUAUUGUGAAUUGGAACAAGACAAGAAAAUAAAUGGAUAAUUAUAUUCAA